rnacentral:rRNA from 1 species
CAGCCGCCACGGGAAUACGGAGGGAGCUAGCGUUGUUCGGAAUUACUGGGCGUAAAGCGCGCGUAGGCGGUUACUCAAGUCAGAGGUGAAAGCCCGGGGCUCAACCCCGGAACUGCCUUUGAAACUAGGUGACUAGAAUCUUGGAGAGGUCAGUGGAAUUCCGAGUGUAGAGGUGAAAUUCGUAGAUAUUCGGAAGAACACCAGUGACGAAGGCGACUGACUGGACAAGUAUUGACGCUGAGGUGCGAAAGCGUGGGGAGCAAACAGGAUUAGAUACCCCCGUAGUCCCUGUCUCUUAUAC